rnacentral:rRNA from 1 species
GAUGAACGCUAGCGGCAGGCUUAACACAUGCAAGUCGCACGGGCAGGGGAAACCUUGUCAGUGGCGGACGGGUGAGUAACGCGUAGGUAUCUAUCCUUAGGUGGGGGACAACGGCUGGAAACGGCUGCUAAUACCGCAUGAUGUCUGAGGACUAAAGGCGCAGGUCGCCUGAGGAGGAGCCUGCGUACGAUUAGCUAGUUGGUGGGGUAAAGCCUACCAAGGCUAUGACGUUAGCUGGUCUGAGAGGAUGAUCAGCCACAUUGGGACUGAGACACGGCCCAAACUCCUACGGGAGGCAGCAGUGGGGAAUAUUGGACAAUGGGCGCAAGCCUGAUCCAGCAAUGCCGCGUGUGUGAAGAAGGUCUUCGGAUUGUAAA